AUUAUACCAUGUAAUAAACCCUAAUUAUUUUCUCCUUCCAGUCAUAAGCGCUCACCUCCCUCUCCGACUCUCUGCGUUCUGUCUCCCCCCCCCCUCUUUCUUUCUCUCCAUUGCCGGCGGCCGGAAUUGCAGUUCCCCACUUUGCAGAGUCACAGGUCGUCAGGAAAAACCGUAGAGAACCACUCUCUGGACUUUAGGCUAAGAUAGUGAGAGAGAUGAGGCUGCUAACCCACAACAUGCUAUCAUCCAACAUCAAAGGCGUGACCAACGGCUUCCCUCUGCGCAUUGAAAUCGAGAAGGUGGUCGAAAAGCAGGUUGAAUUCAACCCCGACUUCCUCAAGAACAUGUUCCCUAAGAUCGAGUGGAAGGCACUUGUCAAUGCCUCUCAUAGUAUGGGGUAUGUUGAGCUCCCUGAGGAGGUUGAGCCUUCUAGGCUUGAUUCUGAAGAUUUUCUUCACAAGUUCCAUCACGCCCUUUUGGAGCUUCAUCUCGAGGAGGGGGCGCUUGUCUGCCCUGAGACUGGUCGCCGCUUUCCAGUGAGCAAGGGCAUACCCAAUAUGCUACUUCAUGAAGACGAAGUGUGAUUCGCGUCAGAUGGUGGAUCGGACUUGCCAUUGCUCUUCUUGUACUUACUAAAACUUAGGGUUUAUGUACCGCAGAUUUUGGCAUUAUGAAAUGGAAUAUGCUUUCGUUUUGUUUAGUUAUGUGUUGAAAACCAUUUUAGCA